GAACUCAUGGGCAUAGGGAUUAGACUUUGGGUGAUCAAGUAUCGAACUAAGGAUGACAAAUGAUCAAUCAAACUAUCAACCUUAAGCCUAGACACAAUUCUAAGCAAGCUCUAUGUCUAGAUGAAUGCUCAUUUGCUAACAUAUCUCAAACAUCAAAUGUCUUUGGUUGAAUAAUAUGAAAGCAAUCAUUACUAAUAAGUCUAUUAGCUAUCUUAGCACCUUUAACAACAAAUGUCUUUGGCAAAGUAUACUAAAAGUCUAGGAGAGUUGUCUCAGGCAUUUCAUCAAACACCUUUUGGGUGGAAAAUGCCUAUUGAUCAACUUUUGAGUGGCCAACUCAGAAGAUGCAUUAUGAAUACUCUACUAGCAAGGAACAAGAAUGAUUUACACUAAAACAUCCUAGAACUAACCUAAUCACCCUUGAUCUCCCUAACCCAUGAAUUCAAAAGGUGAUUACUCACUAAUCUCCAUGAUUCCUCUUAAACCCAUAUUGGAUUUCAGAUUAACCAUGUAGAGAAAUAGAUAAGAAAUCAACAAGAACACAAGAUGAAAGCAAUGAAAUCUGAAUCAAAAGAGGUUUUUUACUAGUUCUUCUCUAGAAAAGAGAUUAUCUUGCCUCCAAUGGCUUACAAAAGUACUUAACUUAGGUUUAGAAAGUGUAAAAACAUCAAAACAAAUGACCAAAAGGCCCCUGAAAUAACAUAAAAAUCGUCCAAACAAAACACGCGGAGUGACCUAGCAUAGUCGCUCCAGGAGGUCACUCCCGACGUGUUUCUUCGUGUCUUGCCGCGGCAAAACGCGAGUGACCUGAGCUGGUCGCUCUGGCUGGUCGCUCUGGCUGGGAGUGACCUCGGUAGGUCGCUCUGAGAGGUCACUCUGCGAUGCUCGACCAGGAUGGAUAUGCCUCUAGUAAAUUGAUCAUAACUCCUUCAUUACAUCUCCAAAUGACUUGAAACCACUUCCAUUAGAAAGCUAACUCAAUUUUCUAUGUCUCCACAAAAUCUUAGCAAUAGGAGAUUUCUCUAAAGGCUCCAUCCAUGCUCAUCUUUCACCUCCUUUUGGAUCACAAUACUCCCAAACAUCUCAAAUCACUCCAUGGCACACUCCAACACCUAAUAAGGACAAUGAAUGCAAAAUGCAACCUAGACAUGGCUAAAUCCUAAUCUAUAUGAUGAAAAUGCUCAUGGAUGAAUGAAUAAAACAAUGUAAAUAUGCAGGAUAUCAACUCCCCCAAACUUGUUCUUUUACUUGUCCACAAGUGAACUUUCUAGAACUCAUAGGGAGAGAGGUUUGAAGGUGGGAACUCAUAGCCAAAAGAAACACAACUAGCACUCAAUUCAACAUCAAAUCCAGCAUGAGCACACUCUCUUAUUACACUCUAGCUUCUCUAGGCCUAUCUCAACUCCUUUUUGCCCCUACACUCAUCAUCAAGCAUCCACACAUUCAAAUCAACCAACUCUCACAUUCAUUAAGCAUAAAACAUUAGGUGAAUUCUUGCAAAUGGUCAGUUGGUCCAAAUCAUUUGGUUGGGUAAGGGAAGGCUUUUAUUCAAGUGAUUCAAGAGGUUCAAAACAUAUGAUCUUUAAGGUGGUUUACUCUCGAAACAUGUAGACUUGACAUUGCACAUAAUAUAUCUAAGAAAGGGAUCAACUCAUGCAUACAAUGCUCAAUCUCCAUUGUUCUACCCUUUUCCCCAAACAUACAAUUACACAAUCAUUUUUCAAUGUCAAACCCAACUCACAUCUCUCACCAAAAGAUUCUAAAAACAUCAGCUCUUUCUCUUUGAAAUCUACAAGGGAUUUUUCACAACCUCAAAACAUUUCUUAGCUCCUAACAACUUUGCUAGCCCCCUUUUCUUUCUUUUCUUUUUCUUUUCUCUCUUUUAUUUCGUUUCUUUUUUUUUUUUUUUUUUUUUUUUUUAGGCUGGGGGCCAAGACUUUUCAAAACUUGAGCUAGAGGCUUCUCUAUUUAUCCCAAUAAAACAAUUCACUUAAGCACAAAGAGUCAUUUCUUUUCCUUUUUCAUUGCUCCCAAAUCAUAAUCACAACACUCACCCCCCACCUAUAGCUAGACAAUAGAGUGCCCAAUCUAGCAAGAAUGAAGAUCAAGCAUUGUCGUUCCCGAUACUCUCAACAUUAUGCACAUGUAAGACUUUCCGAAGAAGGCCUCACUCAUCAAACAAUGAAAGCUUAAAAGGAGGGAAGGGUUUUAGGAGUGGUCUACCACUAGAGUUUGUCAAAAUAAGAUUGGCAUAAAGGAUGUGACAACUCAAGUGUGUAUAGCCAUGACUCAGUACACAAGGGACCAUGAGCAAGAAGCAUUAAGUUCGUUCAGUUCAAAUAAGGUUGUAGUUGGCUUCAAAGACUGAGUUUCAGCAAUCAACAAGUUUCAGGAAGAGUUUUCAAGGCUCGAAACAUACAAGUCUUUUUGAGAGGUGCAAAAUCUACUCAGGUGCAACGUAGUGUUCUUUACAAGGCAUUUAAAAUCAUUGCUCCCAAUGCAAGUGAAUGCAACCUAUAUGCUCUAGACUCUCCUAGAAACGCAAAUGAUGCAAACUAAAUGAUUGUUUUUUUUUUAUAUGCAAAUAGGUAUGCAAUGCAUGACUCAAUGAAACAACAUCAAAGCAAACAUGAUCAAAUACUUGGUACCUCCUCCAAACUUGAGUUACACAGUCUCUGUGUUGUCAAGUAGAGAGAGAUACCGAAAAGAAGACUAAUAUGCAAAAAUGAAAUGGUAUAUACAAGGGAGUGUGGUGGUUUACCUUCUAUAGGGAAUGAGUAGAGGGAGAUGCUCCCUCCUCGUCGUCCUCAGGUGGUAACUCUUCAAGAUGCUCAUCAGCAGGAGUGGUCAUCUCUUCAAUGUAGAAGGCUUGCCCGAACACAGUUGGUUUCCUCAUUUUCCCUUUGAUGUCAAAGUGGAGGAUGUUCUCUUUACCCAAAUGGAGAUCAAUCGUGCCUUCCUUCACAUUAACAAUAGCUCCUGCUGUAGCUAAGAAUGGUCUUCCUAGAAUCAAUGGGUCUUGAGCCUCCUCACCCAUCUCAAGCACCACAAAAUCUGUAGGUAUCUCAUACCUUCCAAUCUUCACAGGAAGGUCCUCUAAGAUGCCCACUGGGUACUUCACUGAACGAUCAGCUAACACCAAAGAGAGUCUACACUUCUUGUACUGAGUGAAUCCAAGCUUCUUUGCAACAGACAAAGGCAUCAAGCUGACACUAGCUCCCAAAUCGCAGAGACAUUUCUCAAAUACCAUAGGUCCAAGAGCACAAGGUAGUGUGAAGCUUCCUGGAUCCUCUAACUUCUCUGGAACAUCAAGCCUCUGGAUGAUGGCAUUGCACUCAUGGGUAAGAAUCAUCAUGCCUUCCAUCUCCUUUUUCUUUGCAGCUACAACAUUUUUUAGGAACUUGUUGUAUUGAGGAAUCAACAUGAAAGCAUCGAUGAUGGGUAUUGCAACCUGAGCUUCACUCAUUUGCUUCUCAAACAGAGCCUUGUACUUCUCUAGCAGCUGCUUCUUGAAUCUACCAGGGAAUGGAAGCUUGGGUUCAUAUGUAGGAGGAACAAAAGAACUUUCACUUGCUAGAGUAACAACUUCACCAUCUUGUAUUGUUUUCUUCUCUUCUCCAACCUUUCUUUUACCUUUAGCUUCCAUAAUCUUCUUCAAAAUCUCAUCAUUGGUCUUCUCAUCAACAAUUGCCACAUCAUCAUCUAAGUUGAUGGCCACCUCCUCACCUAGUUUCUCAGCAUCCUUGGUGAGGGUUCUAGGAGGUAACUGCUUACCACUCCUAAGGGUGAUAGCUUUGGCCUCCUUGGGGUUUUGGUCAGAUUUUCCAGGUAGAGAUCCUUGCUGGCGAUUCUGGUGAGUGUUCAUGAAAGCAAACUGAUUCUCUAAAUUCUUUACUGUAGAAGCAAGGUGUGAGAAUUUGUUGUUGAGCUCAUUGUAGCUCCCAUCAAUCUUGGAAUGAAGGUUCUUCAACUCAUAACCAACAUGCUUCUCACUUCUAGUCUGAGACUCCAAGAUUUGUUUCAGUAAGGUAUUAGUGCUGCUCUCUUGAGGAGCAGAGGAACCAGACGAGGGGUUUUGUUGAGGCUGAUAGCUGCCUUGCUGGUUGUUUCUAGGCGGAUAACCACUCUGUUGGUUGUUGAGAUAGGAUUUCUGUUGGUAGUUGUUGUACUGAAAGUUGGGCUCUUUUUUGUACCAGCUACCAUUGUUGUUGAUGAAACACAGCUCUUCCUGACCUUCCAAACCCUCAACCUCAUGGACAAUAGGUGGUGUCUCUUGGCUUGGGUUACCAACAAAGUGCAGCUGCUCUUGGGUGGCUUUAUCAGCGAUGAGGAUGUCUAUCUUAUCCUGUAGAGCCUUUAACUCCUUCCUUGUCUGCUUGUCAUCUGUUCUGCUGCCUCUGUCGUGGUCUCCACUGUAGACUGCGUCACUCUUUACCAUGUUGUCAACCAGCUCCUCAGCAUCCUCCUCAGUCCUCCCCAAGAAGAACCCAUUGCUAGCUGUAUCCAGUCUGGCUCUGUACUUAGGAAGGGCACCACGGUAGAAUGUGCUCAGCAAGCUCUCCUUAGAGAAACCAUGGUGUGGGCAUUGAGCUUGGUAGCCCUUGAAUCUCUCUCAGGCUUCACUGAAGCCUUCCAAGUUCUUCUGUUGAAAGCUGGAGAUCUCAUUUCUCAGCUUAGCAGUUCUUGAAGUAGAGAAGAACUUCUCCAAGAAUGCUUUCUUGCAGUCAUCCCAAGUGGUGAUGGAGUCACUGGGUAGAGACUUCUCCCACUGACGUGCCUUAUCCCCCAAAGAAAAAGGGAAUAACUUGAGCUUUAAGGCAUCUUCGGACACACCAUUGGUUUUUGACAACCCACAGUAGCUGUCGAACUUGUCCAAGUGAUCAAAUGGAUCCUCUAGAGCCAAGCCAUGAUAUUUGUUGUUCUCGAUCACGUUGAGGAGUCCUGAUUUGAUCUCAAAGUUGUUGGCUGCCACAGCUGGUGCUCGGAUUCCCAAUCUAUGACCAUGAAUGUUGGGGCGGUCGUAAGUGCCAAUGGGUCGAGCUGCUCGCUGUUGGUUUUGUGGAACGUUGUUAGCUCCAUUGACACCCGCAUCAUUUUGAGGUAUGUCUUCCAUAUCAGUGUCCAAUCUCUGCAAGUGAGCCUGUUGCUCUUCUUCUCUUCUCUUUCUAGCACACUCUCUCUCUAAAGCUCGGAUGUCUGCAGCUCUUGGAACUAGGUUUGAUGGACCCCUGCUCCUCAAGUUCAUGCACCUGUAGAUUAAAGGGAGGUGAAAAAGAAUCAGUAACAAAAAAAAAUAAAAAUGACUUAGUCUCAAGCAAGUGACUAAAUCUCAAUGUUGAAAUCUACUCAGAAUUUGGCAACGGCGCCAAUUUGAUGUUAGGAGUUUUCAAGGCUCCUAAGACAAAUGUUGUAGUAUAAAUGAUUGUCAAACCAGUUCUGAGGGAUAUCAAAGCACUGAGAAUGCAAGUACUCACUUAAUCUAAGUGCAACCAAUGAUUUAGAUGGGUUUUAAACUACUACUAAUACUAGAAAGCAAUAACAGAAUUAUACUUUCUUGACUAAGGGAAAAGAGAACUCAUGGGCAUAGGGAUUAGACCUUGGGUGAUCAAGUAUCGAACUAAGGAUGACAAAUGAUCAAUCAAACUAUCAACCUUAAGCCUAGACACAAUUCUAAGCAAGCUCUAUGUCUAGAUGAAUGCUCAUUUGCUAACAUAUCUCAAACAUCAAAUGUCUUUGGUUGAAUAAUAUGAAAGCAAUCAUUACUAACAAGUCUAUUAGCUAUCUUAGCACCUUUAACAACAAAUGUCUUUGGCAAAGUAUACUAAAA
rnacentral:lncRNA from 1 species